GAUUCCCAGGCUUAGAGGACCUUUGCAUGUAUGUGAAUCACUUAAAAAAAGAAUGAAAAAGAAUAUAAACAAUAAUGACAAUUGUAUAGUAUAUGCUUGCACUGCCUCCUAACAACCUGUCAUUUUAAGAACUUAUUUCAUCAUAUCACGCUGGAAUACAGGGAAGCCCAACCGUGGCAGUGCUGCUAAAAGGGGAAGGAAAGCAGCUGCUCCUGUCCCAUGCAGGGGGCAGUAGGUGCAAGAAAGGGCAAAACCUUGCUCCAGCCUGCAGCGUCCUGGCUGUGCAUCCCAGAUGUGCUAAGGGACAGGAGAGUACUGGGACAGCCCAGCUCCACCUCAGCUGCCUCUGUGAGGGACACAACAGGGACAGCCCCUGCCCAACACUUGGACGUGCUUCUGAUGUCGGAUGGCAGCUGGGCAAGGCAGCAUCUGAAGCCAGAAAGGGAUGAAUAUGAGAGAUAUGCCUCCAUGUGUUCCUACAGGGACUCAGUAAUUUAAACAAGCUAGUGCUGCUCAGUAUUUAUCUUUAUAUAGAAUUUUAGGUUCCAGUUAGUAUGAAAGGGGCUGUAUGAAGUGCGCUUACUAGAAUGAGAAGUAUCUGUUUAUAAAAUGAGUCAGUACUUGUAAGGGUGCAAAAAUAAAAGACCUCAGAGAAGGGGAGGUAUUCUCUCAUCUGACAGAGACUUUAAGGCUGUACUAUGCUACAAACCAGAACCAUAUGCCCUGUUCUUUAAAGGUAUGCAACACUUAAAUUUUUUCAUAUAAAAAACCCUUUGCAUAUAGCAUCUCAGUAUUUUCAGGCCCCAAUAAAGUGUUUUACGGACGAGAAGUGGCAUAGCUCUGCUUAUAACAAUGUCUUUAGACAGCAUACAA